UGAACUUAUGAUAGACCAAGUGUGUAAACCUAUUAUUAUGAAUCUAUGGAUCAUGUAUGGAUCUCAUUUAUUAUAUAUACAAUCCGAUUUGCCUUAUGUUUACUUGAUAAGAUUGUUUGUUCAUGAACCUCACUUGAAAUGGAAUUGAACUUAGUAUUUAAAAGACCUUAAAACCGCAAUCAGACAUUCAAAUGUUGGAUGGUAAGGUCGCAGAUCAGUUUGGGCUUAGAGCCGGGAUCGGGCCUUCCAAGUUGGUAUCAGAGCAUGCUUGAUUCUAGGAUUUGUUGGGUUAUGUGUUCACCACACUUCUGGCUUGGGUCUCACGGUA
rnacentral:lncRNA from 1 species